UUCUCGUUCCAAACAAAUUUUUUCCCCUGCUAGCUUAGAAAGUGAAAGAAACUGGAGGUAGGAAGACGAGGCUUUUGUGUCUCAUCUAUGGUGGUGUCUCCCCGAAGUGGAAUCUAGGGCGCGGCGGAAAGAAGGGGAAAGGCGGAGGACUUUUGAGUUUUAUUGGCCGAGAGGCUAGGGCACGGUGUGAUUUGGUUCGAUCUCGGUGUGGAAGCUCGGGGAAUCAACUUAUUGCGUAGUGGUUUUGUGGUUGUGGGAUUUUGGAAACCUUAGAUUUGGGUCAGGGUUGUGUGGUUGGCUGAUUAAGCUAGGGGCGGGGCUGCCCUUGCGAUUGACUGGGUUUUCAUGCUGUCAAAACCACUGCCUUGGGAUCGGAAGGACUUCUUCAAGGAGAGGAGAGGAAGCACGAGAGGUCGGAGUCUUUAAGUUUGCUGCAAGAUAGAGGACUCGCAUCAGGGUUCUUGGGAGUUUGCUCGCCGGAAUCAGCAGACUUGCGCCGUCCUACAGAAGCACGAGAGGUCUGAGUCUUUAGGUUUGCUGCAAGAUAGAGGGACUCGCAUCAGGUUCUUGGGAGUUUGCUCGCCGGGAUCGGUAGACUUUCGCCCCCCUACAGGGACACUUUUCUUUGCCAUGAGCAAUGUUGGUGAGCUUUAUCUUGCAGAAGGACAAUGAUUCCUGAUCUAUCUGAAUGAGGUUUAACACCAAGAACCAGAUUAGGCCUUGGACAACUCAGAUGGAAAUUAAAUCUUGUCUGCAUCACUGCUCCAUCUCCAAAUUGACUUGAGCUUUUCUUAUUUACUGACAUUCUAUUUUUGUACAGAUUUUUAUACACUGGAUCUGUAGAAAUUAUAUUGGAUAUUGCACAAGAUCUCCUCAUA